UACGAAGGUAAGAUAACAAAUGGUUGCAACGGCCAGAGAUACGAAGGAAACUGAACAAGAAAGAACGCAGAGCCUACUACUACUGUCGAGGUAGAAGGACGUUGCAGCCACCGUCUACGAAGACGACGCAAAUCUACCGCCGGAGAGGGCUGCACAGAACUUCCGGCUACUUUUUCCGUGCUUGUAGUUUAUUCUAUUUGUUUGUGCCUCCUUUUCUCUUGCCGCCGGAAAAUUUCAAACUUUGUCAACAGACAGGAAGCUUAGGACUAUGAGUUCCACUAAUAUCAGAGACCUCUUGACAUCAUUUAGUCCUUCUUUGGAUUUUUUCACUCUCAGUUCAGGAGAUGGUCGAAUUAAGAUUUGGGACACUUUGAAGGGUCAAGUCCAGACAGAGUUUGCGGACAUCACAUCUACCAAUCCUGGAGAUUUAUAUACAAAACCAGAUAGAGGGCACCUUUCAGUUGACUACACGUGCAUGAAAUGGUUACCUUUGGAGAAAAAGAGGAAAAAGGAGGUCGGAUUAUCAUUUGUAGUUCUAGGAACUGGCAGUGGUGAUGUUUUAGCAUUGGAUGUGUCUGCCGGUCAAUUAAAGUGGAGAGUCAGUGAUUGCCAUCCUGGAGGUGUCAAUGCCAUUGCAUCUUCUCCACAGACUUUGUGCAUUUACACUGCGGGUGCUGAUGGUAUGGUUUGCCAAAUCGAUUCCAUGACGGGGAAGUUGUUGGGGAAGUUUAGAGCUUCAACAAAAGCCAUAUCCUCCAUUUCUGUUGCACCUGAUGGGAAGACAUUAGCAACUGCAGCUGGUCAGUUGAAGAUUUUUGAUUCUGCAGACAAUAAAAGAAUACAGAAGUUUUCUGGCCAUCCUGGAGCUGUUCGUUGUAUGAUUUUCACUGAAGAUGGGAAGCAUAUACUCUCUUCUGCUGUUGGCGAAAGAUAUAUUGCAGUCUGGAGAGUAGAUGGUAACAAAAAGAAGUCUGCUACUGCAGUGCUUGCAAUGGAGCAUCCUGCUGUGUAUCUAGACUCAAAGUGUGGGGACAAUAAUGGAACAGAAGACGUCAGCUUAUAUGUUUUGGCCAUCUCAGAAGUUGGACUUUGUUAUUUUUGGUAUGGAAGAAACGUCGAGGAAUUACACAAUGUCAAGCCCACAAAAAUCUCAUUAUCUAUUGACAGUCAGAUCUCAAAGAAUCACAAGGGUGCAUCACCUACAAUAUUUGCUGCUAAGUUACAAAGCAUCGUAAAACCAUCCUCUGGUCAGGUGUUUGUUGCAUAUGGUUCGCUAGUAAAGCCAUCAUUUGAGAAAAUAUCAGUGCAGCAUGGUCUGGAUGUAAAGUUGAGUACCUCCCAGAAUGGGGUCCUUCUACCAUUAGUUCAGUCUCACAAAUCCAAGAAAGGGCUGGAUGUGCGAACUGAAGUCACUGCUUUAGACCGAUCAAAUGCUGAGGAUGCCUUGCUUCCAGUCCCAAAGGUUUAUGAAUUUCGUGAUAAAAAGAGAAAGGAGAAGCAUUCUAAUAGAGAUCGUGAUUUGUUGAUGACUGAUGAUUUGGUUGACAAACGGAGGGAAGUUAAGCUCAUGGAUAGCAAAGAUGACCAAGUAAUGGUUGAAGCAGAUACUGCUGCAAUAUGCAUGGAGGAUCGCCUUAGAUCGUUAGGAGUUCUCACUAGUGAGGAAGAUCUUACUAGAGAUAGUUACCCACUGAAUGCUGACUCAACCAUGAAUUCUACUGCAUAUAGUGAUGCUCAUUUUGAAGCUCAAAUCUCACAGAAGAAGAUUAAGGCAUCUGUUUUGUCUAUGACUUCUGCUGAUGCAUACAAGUUACUGACAUUUUUGGUUGCCAUGUGGAAAUCAAGGUCAGCUAGUGGAAAGUAUGUUCUUCCAUGGAUUUCUAGUAUAUUGGUGAAUCACAGUCACUAUGUCAUAUCACAGGAACCAGCCAACCAAAUGCUUAAUUCCUUAUACAAGAUGGCUGAGUUCAGAAGUGUCGCUGUUCAACCUUUGUUACAGUUGUCUGGUCGCUUACAACUUAUAACUGCACAGAUUGAUAAGGCUGUGGAGACCAGGAGUCGAACAGUAUCAAAUGACCAGCAAUUGGGUGAAAAUGAUGAUGAAGAUGAAGACGAAGAUGUGGAUGAAUUUGUCUAUGGGGAAGAAGAUGAAGAAUCUCAAAGUGGCAGUGAUGGUGAUAAUUAGAAUCAUUGCUUGAGUUAAAAAAAAUUAUGCUGCUCCUGACCUGCCAUGUAAAUCCAAUAAGAAGACUAGCAUCAAUCAGUUCACAGUACCCAGUGACAGAUCUUGGCAGUGCAAAUCUGACCUAUCUGAAAUGCUCGUCUCUUUCAAGAUUUUGUUUGGAAAGUUCACUUGAUUGCUUAGGAACAGCCUCACCUAUGGGAAGAAAAGGAGAUUCUCCCUAUCAAUGUUUUAAGUACUGACCCCUAAAUUAUAAUCAUCCAUUGUUACUAUUAAAGUGUAUCGUUUGAGUUGUAACUAGAUUAGAUUAGUUGUUUAAUUGUUAUUCCCUUUUCUGGUUAUUCCUCUUUAUUGUAAUUAGACUUUUAAGACUCUUAGUAGGAUUUCUGCUAAGAGUUGAUGACUUGAUAUUAUAUAAGCAAGGGGCUAGACCAUGAUAGGGGGUUCCAUUCUCAUCAUGUUCUAGCUUUCUCCCUCUCCCGUCUC